CUUGUAAGGUGUGGUCACCUCCUGGGUCUUGUAAGUGUGUGGUCACCCUCCUUGGGUCUUGUAAGUGUGUGGUCAUCCUCCCUGGGUCUUGUAAGUGUGUGGUCAUCCUCCCUGGGUCUUGUAAGUGUGUGGUCAUCCUCCUGAGUCUUGUAAGUGUGUGGUCAUCCUCCCUGGUCUUGUAAGUGUGUGUGGUCAUCCUCCC